rnacentral:tRNA from 1 species
GUCAAGAUGGCCGAGUUGGUCUAAGGCGCCAGUUUCAGGUUUUGGUCCGAAAAGGGAAUGGGUUCAAAUCACAUUCUUGACA